rnacentral:rRNA from 1 species
UACAGAGGUCCCGAGCGUUGUUCGGAUUCAUUGGGCAUAAAGGGUGCGUAGGCGGCGGGGCAAGUCUGAUGUGAAAUCCCGGGGCUCAACCCCGGAACUGCAUUGGAUACUGCCUUGCUCGAGUACUGGAGAGGGAACUGGAAUUUACGGUGUAGCAGUGAAAUUCGUAGAUAUUCGCAAGAACACCAGUGGCGAAGGCGGCUCACUGGCCCGAUACUGACGCUGAGGCACGAAAGCGUGGGGAGCAAACAGG